UAAGGUUGACCUCGGAUCAGGUAGGAAUACCCGCUGAACUUAAGCAUAUCAAUAAGCGGAGGAAAAGAAACCAACAGGGAUUGCCCUAGUAACGGCGAGUGAAGCGGCAACAGCUCAAAUUUGAAAUCUGGCUUCGGCCCGAGUUGUAAUUUGUAGAGGAAGCUUUUGGUGAGGCACCUUCUGAGUCCCCUGGAACGGGGCGCCAUAGAGGGUGAGAGCCCCGUAUAGUCGGAUGCCGAUCCAAUGUAAAGCUCCUUCGACGAGUCGAGUAGUUUGGGAAUGCUGCUCAAAAUGGGAGGUAAAUUUCUUCUAAAGCUAAAUACCGGCCAGAGACCGAUAGCGCACAAGUAGAGUGAUCGAAAGAUGAAAAGCACUUUGAAAAGAGGGUUAAAUAGCACGUGAAAUUGUUGAAAGGGAAGCGUUUGUGACCAGACUUGCGCCGUUCCGAUCAUCCGGUGUUCUCACCGGUGCACUCGGGACGGCUCAGGCCAGCAUCGGUUUUGGCGGGGGGACAAAGGUCCUGGGAACGUAGCUCCUCCGGGAGUGUUAUAGCCCAGGGCGUAAUGCCCUCGCCGGGACCGAGGU
rnacentral:rRNA from 1 species